rnacentral:lncRNA from 1 species
AUCUAUUUGUCUGAUUCUUUCCAAUAGAAUUGUCACCUAAGGGAUCUCAUCCAACUGGUAGUACUAACUACUGACAACAUUUUGCAUUUUACAUUUUAUUAUGUAUAUUCUGAGAGCUCUUUUUUUCUUCUUGGUUUUGUUGUCACAGCCAGCACUGGGGACAAAAAGCUUUCAGUUUUAUUACCACUGAAGUGGGAGACUAUACAGGGGAUGUAAUGAGAUCAUGCCUGAAAAGAGAAAGUGCAGUUUGAGUGCUCUGUGAUUUAGCUCUUCUCAAGUGAUAUGCUGACCUCUGGAGGCCAUAGGCAGCCGUUAUAAUUACAACUCAACCUAAAAUACAUCCCUGUCAGCACAGACAAGAAAGUUAUGUACCCAGAGCAAGGAAAAUCCAGGUAAUACUGUGCCUCCAAUUGUCAUUAUACCCAAGAAUCGAAUUAUUUGAAUUCUGGACACAUCAGCACAAAACUGAAGACUCCCUGCCAAUUUCGUAGCCUGCUUGGAAGAGAACAUCACAGAGCAUCACUCAUUUAUACGACUGCCAGCCUGAGACUGUAAAUUCAGGAAACAAGAAGGCCUCAGUCAUUGCAGCCAUCUGUCUAAAGGAUGAAAAAAGCAAAACCAUGUCUCUUGUGUGGAAGCUACCACGAAUGUUUGCCAGGAUAGUAAUCAUGACAAGGCCUGGAAAUGGUGGAACAGCACACCAGCAAAACAGCAUCUGAGAUACAAGCAACAAAGCAAAACCCCCUAAAUAUAACACCUGAAAGCUUAGAAG